GAUGAACGCUGGCGGCGUGCCUAAUACAUGCAAGUCGAGCGAAUGGAUUAAGAGCUUGCUCUUAUGAAGUUAGCGGCGGACGGGUGAGUAACACGUGGGUAACCUGCCCAUAAGACUGGGAUAACUCCGGGAAACCGGGGCUAAUACCGGAUAACAUUUUGAACCGCAUGGUUCGAAAUUGAAAGGCGGCUUCGGCUGUCACUUAUGGAUGGACCCGCGUCGCAUUAGCUAGUUGGUGAGGUAACGGCUCACCAAGGCAACGAUGCGUAGCCGACCUGCGAGGGUGAUCGGCCACGCUGGGACUGAGACACGGCCCAGACUCCUACGGGAGGCAGCAGUAGGGAAUCUUCCGCAAUGGACGAAAGUCUGACGGAGCAACGCCGCGUGAGUGAUGAAGGCUUUCGGGUCGUAAAACUCUGUUGUUAGGGAAGAACAAGUGCUAGUUGAAUAAGUUGGCACCUUGACGGUACCUAACCAGAAAGCCACGGCUAACUACGUGCCAGCCGCCGCGGUAA
rnacentral:rRNA from 1 species